AAGCCAGUGCCGGACUGCAAGCUGCUCUGUGGAAAGACUUAUGUGUCAAGGAGUUGAUAUCUCUGGCCCACAGCGAGCGAGGACAUGAGGUGCUCAGUCCAACGGCCAGCAAGAAAUGGAAUCCUGCCAGCUAUCCCCACCUGGUGUGGGACCUGGCAGGCGCUGGGUGAAAUGAGAGUUGAAUUAAAAUUCCGUGAAGAAAUAUCCAGCUUCGAAGCAGAUCUAUGAAGAGGAAGGGAGCAUUAAGUCCAGCCUCAAACUUCAGGAAAACAGUAGUCAAAAAAGAAACAGCCCUCGCCCCUCAGCCCCAGGCCAGCAACCUGAGCUGCAGAAGGAAAGCGGCAAUUAUGGUUUGGGGUUUCUCCCCCUCCUCUCCAGCUUCUGGACUCACUUUUCAUCUUCCUCCUGCCUUUUGAGAGCUUCGCAUUGAGCUCCACGGGGCUGCGCUCCUGGAGUCCCUGGGGUGGGGGCGCGGCAAAGCCCCCACCUCCUCCGAGAGCCCGGGGUGGAGCGGCAGCCCCCGGGGGACAGGCUGGUGCCCCCUCUGCUAAUCUGCAGCCCGCAACUCUGGCCCAGCGCCUGGCAGCUCACCCCUCGCCCAAGGAAAUUUAUUAGCAGAGGCUGCGGGGAGGGCCGGGUUCCUGAGACUUCAUUACUCUUACAAAAUAUACUAUGGGACGUUUACUAGUGUCCCAUGAAGUGUGGCCAUAAAUCAGGGGCUCCGAGGCGCUUGUCAGAAGAAAUGAGGAAAGUGCGUUUGCUCGCGCCCCCGUGGCCUUGCCAGCACCGGUAGCAUCCCUGUCCCUGAUCAAGGACACCUCGGCCACCCGCCUGGCCCAGGGACUGGGCACAGGGCUGUCCCAGAUUCGCAACGAAAAUGUCAUCCAACUUCGAAUGCACACAUGUCACACACUGAAUCUCUCCUGGAACUAUUUCCUCUGCCAAUUUUAUUCUCCCGGCCCCAGGGACCUACAAAACUUCUGUGCAGCACGAUCCUGUUUCUAAUAUACACACAUGAAGGAAAUACCCCCGAAGGUUAGCAGUGAUUCUCGCUUGGUAGAACAAUCACAGAAAAUUGGAAUAUGCAUUUGAGCACGUUCAACUGCCAGGCCGGACACGUUGGCUCACACCUGUAAUCCCAGCACUUUGGGAGGCUGAGGUGGGUGGAUCACCUGAGGUCAGGAGUUCAAGACCAGCAUUGCCAACAUGGUGAA